rnacentral:rRNA from 1 species
CCUACGGGACGCACCAGUGGGGAAUAUUGGACAAUGGGCGAAAGCCUGAUCCAGCAAUGCCGCGUGUGUGAAGAAGGCCUUCGGGUUGUAAAGCACUUUCAGUAGGGAGGAAGGUAGUGUAGUUAACACCUGCAUUAUUUGACGUUACCUACAGAAGAAGCACCGGCUAACUCCGUGCCAGCAGCCGCGGUAAUACGGAGGGUGCGAGCGUUAAUCGGAAUUACUGGGCGUAAAGCGCAUGCAGGCGGCCUGUUAAGUCAGAUGUGAAAGCCCGGGGCUUAACCUCGGAAUUGCAUUUGAAACUGGCAGGCUAGAGUCUUGUAGAGGGGGGUAGAAUUUCAGGUGUAGCGGUGAAAUGCGUAGAGAUCUGAAGGAAUACCAGUGGCGAAGGCGGCCCCCUGGACAAAGACUGACGCUCAGAUGCGAAAGCGUGGGGAGCAAACAGGAUUAGAUACCCGCGUAGUC